AAACGUAGGUGGCGAACGUUAUCCGGAUUUACUGGGCGUAAAGCGCUCGCAGGCGGCUUCGUAAGUCUGACGUGAAAGCUCCCGGCUUAACUUGGAGAGGCCGUUGGAUACUGCGGAGCUUGAGGGCAGGAGAGGAGAGUGGAAUUCCCGGUGUAGCGGUGGAAUGCGUAGAUAUCGGGAGGAACUCCAGUGGCGAAGGCGACUCUCUGGCCUGACCCUGACGCUCAGGAGCGAAAGCGUGGGGAGCGAACAGGAUUAGAAACCCCAGUAGUCC
rnacentral:rRNA from 1 species